UGCAACCCUUGAAUGUGUUUGUUGAUUGACAUCUAUGCAUAUUGAUCAUCCUCGUGUUGAUGAUCGAUUCGUUUAGAUGACCAUCAACAAAUACUUUCAUGGUUUUGCA
rnacentral:precursor_RNA from 1 species